CCUACGGGAGGCUGCAGUGGGGAAUAUUGGACAAUGGGGGCAACCCUGAUCCAGCCAUGCCGCGUGUGUGAAGAAGGCCCUCGGGUUGUAAAGCACUUUCAGUGAGGAAGAACGCCUGGUGGUUAAUACCCAUCAGGAAAGACAUCACUCACAGAAGAAGCACCGGCUAACUCCGUGCCAGCAGCCGCGGUAAUACGGAGGGUGCGAGCGUUAAUCGGAAUUACUGGGCGUAAAGCGCGCGUAUGUGGCUUGAUAAGCCGGUUGUGAAAGCCCCGGGCUCAACCUGGGAACGGCAUCCGGAACUGUCAAGCUAGAGUGCAGGAGAGGAAGGUAGAAUUCCCGGUGUAGCGGUGAAAUGCGUAGAGAUCGGGAGGAAUACCAGUGGCGAAGGCGGCCUUCUGGACUGACACUGACACUGAGGUGCGAAAGCGUGGGUAGCAAACAGGAUUAGAUACCCCAGUAGUC
rnacentral:rRNA from 1 species